rnacentral:misc_RNA from 1 species
GAGAAAUGAUUGGAGGGAUCAACAAAAGUAAAAGAUUAAAAAUAAUGUAGUGCAAUUUUAUACGACAAAUUUUUUAAUGCAUCCAUCAAAAUUCUCAAAUAUCCAAAUCUUGACACAAGAUGUUCACGCACCAAAGAAAAGCUACCACAAACACCAUUUGGAAACCAACACAAAAGCAAUAAGCAGUGCCCAUCAAUCAUCAAUCAGAACAAAAACAUUCCAGUUGCCCAAGUCUGAAGCCAGAACCAAAUAAACAGAAAUAUAAAACGGUAUACUAAACCAACAAAAGAUAUGAAGUACUUUAACAUGAACCUGAACAGCAGUUUCUAUGCAAUCCACAUCUUAUUACACUGAUAGAAUGCCCUUCUCUUCAUUUUAAGGAAAUAAAGUACAUCUAUUAAUUCAUGUUGGCAAGGUUCAUAAAUGAUAGUUAUGGAAAAUCAGUUCUGCAAUUACUUUAAGAGAAACAAUAGGAACUCAGACAAGCACAAGUUAAUUCAACUUGGAUUUCAUCUUAAAUUCAGUUGUCAUGGAUUGGCAUUUGGCACAACUUGGGUGCUAAAACCUCAAGUAGCAUAGCAACUAAACUAGACUAAUUGAUUAAAUCAUCAUACAUCGCACACAAGCUAUAAGUCAAUAAG